UUAUUAGUAUAAUACAUGUGUUGCCAUGUUUUCUUAUGUAUCUUUCAUAGAAAUGCAUUUUUAACAUGUGCAUUGGUGGUAUUUUUACAAUGUUUAUGUGUUUUAAUUAUUCCAUAACUAAGAAAUAUAAUAAUAAUUUACUGUUUUCAAUUUGGGGGUGGGGUCUCCUCUCUUUCUGUCUCCCCCUUUUUGUGUAAUAAUAAUAAUAAUAAUAAUAAUAAUAAUUUAUUUACAAUAUUUAUAUAAUAUAAUGCUUCUAAUUGUUCCAUAAACACUUUUAACCCCCAAACAAAACACCCAUAAAAUGCUUGCAAAAUGAACCCCAAAAGACUUUCUACCCUCCACAAAUCGAAAGAAUACUGGCAAAAUCUCACACCAAAUGUCCUUUAACCUAGAAAGAAAUGCUUAAAAUCCCAAUGGAAGCAGGAAAACUGGCAAAAUCUCACACCAAAUGUCCUUUUACUUCUAUAAAAAUGCUGAAAACCCAAACAGAAGGAAGGAAUACUUCCAAAAUUCUCCUUAAAAUGCUUAUUUCCCAUAAAAAUGCUUGAAACUACCACAGAGAGCAGGAAUGCUAGCAAAAUACCUCCAAAAUAUAUGUGUACCUCCAUAAUAAUGCUUUAAAUCUCAGGAAUACUGGCAAAAUGCACCCCAAAUGCCCUUUUACACCACAUAAAAUUGCUUUAAACUCCAUAGAAAGGAGGAACACUAGCAAAACCUCACUCCAAAUGUCCUCUUAUCCCCAUAAAUAGGAAUAAAAUCCCAAUGAAAGCAAGAAUACUAGCAAAAUGCACCCCCAAAUAUCCUCUUAUAAAAAUGCUUUAAAAUCCCAUAGAAAGCAGGAAUGUUUGCAAAUGCACCCUCAAAUGCUUGUGCAAUGCAUUCCAAGCCUCCCUCGGUGUUGCAGUGCCUCCAAAAUGUUUGCAAGCAGUGUACAAUCAUAUAUAAAAAUAAUGUAAAUAUAUAUAUAUAUUAAUUCUUGCAUUUCUUUCCCAACUCACCUCUCCUGUUCAUGGGCCGGACCCUGACGGCCACCUUGACUUUCGAGUCUCCCCCCAUGUCUGUCUUCCUUCCUUUCUUCCUUCCUGCCUGUUUUCCUUCCUUCCUUCCUUCUUUCUACUCGGCUUCCGACUUUCUGGGAAGCCAGCAAAGCAGCAGAGCCUAGCAUUAGGGGGCGUGGCUAGGAGAGGCCACGCCCAUAUUCCCGGGGACUAGAGCGCGCGCGCGCCGCUUGGAAUCUCUUUUUUUGUUUGGUCCCUUCGCGGCCGCCGUCGAUCUCAGAGGAAAGCUCCAUAGCAUGACGGGAAAUGUAGUCUUUUUGGGAAAAAAAAAUCUUUUUAAGUUUUCUCUUUAGGAGUGGAAAGCAGAAUAAUAUUGAUAAUCGUAAUAAUUAAAUGCGUUUAUAAUAAUAUUAGCAAUAAUAAUAUUUAUUUCCAGCAUUUAUACCCCGCCCUUCUCACCCGGAGGGACUCAGGGCAGAUAUAAUAAUAUAUAAUAAUAUUAUUAUAAUAAAGCUAAUAAUAAUAUUAGCAAUAAUAAUAUAUAAUA
ensembl:lncRNA